AAUCCAUUGGUUGGUGGGAGAGCAGUUGGACUCUGUUGUUUCCCAUAUACUUGACCUUUUCCCUGACCUGUUGGAUCUGGACAUACAUUGUAUGGGUCUGAAAUUGCACACAAGAUAAAGUGGUUGAAAUUGAGCAGAACACCAUGGGCAGCCACAUGGAUGAGGACAUUCUUGAAAAGGAUUUCAGGAUGUUAACAUCUCUAGGGUGUGGUUCAUUCGGGGAGGUGAAGCUGGCCUGCCACCUUCCCACACAUACACGAGUGGCUGUCAAGGUCCUUGAGAAAAACACCAACAGUGUGGCUGACAUCAGUACUGAAGUGAAAAUCCUUCAGUCUCUGGAACACAGGAACAUCGUUCGAUUUUUUGACAUGAUCGACACACUGUCAACCACUUAUCUGAUUAUGGAGUAUGUGGCAGGAGAAGAUCUGGAGAGCUGCCUCCAGGCACUGGGCUGUCUAAAGGAGGAGGAGGCUAGAGGGAUUUUCAGGCAGGUGGUGUCAGCGGUUCACUUCCUCCACCAGAGAAACAUUGCACACCGUGAUAUUAAAUGGGAAAACAUCCUAGUCGAUGCAGCAGGAAAUGCAAAGCUUUGUGACUUUGGUAUGGCAAUUGAAAUCACAGAGGGGCAGAUGUUGGAGGAGAUCUGUGGCUCCUUGCUCUAUUGGGCCCCAGAGAUCUUGGCAAGAAAGCCCUAUGAUGGACUGGCGGGUGAUAUGUGGAGCUUGGGUAUCGUCCUGUAUGUCUUGGUCACAGGGCACUUUCCAUAUAUGGAAGAAACCCUUGAAGGUAUGCACAGCGUCAUCACCACCACAAUAUGUCCCAUUCCUUACCAUCUGUCAAAACCCUGUCAUAUCAUCAUUGCCCGACUACUCAUGGUCCCUAUCUGGUACCGAUUUACAAUCUGUCAGCUUGUGGAAAGAGCAUGGCUGGGCCCAAUUCAAGAACAUGUACUGCCUGCCACCAAAGAAAUCCUGCCCAGGGUCGUGGAGACCAUGUGCACCAUUGGCUAUACCUGUGAGGAGAUUGUUUCAUCCCUAACUCACAGGCGAGAAGAUAAUCAUGUAAUGGCUACAUGCAACAUUCUCAAAUAUCAGCUGAGUGGUGGAGGCAGCCAUCAGCAAGAUCAGAUGCCCUGAUUAACAAGCAGCCCUGCAGGUCCUGUUCGCCUCCCUCUCCCCUUGAAGAGAGCCAGUGAACCAGCAUUUACAACCGGUAGACAUGCUGGGAAGGAUCACUUUAAGGAGGAGGGUGUGGAAGAAAGAGGCAAAAGAUGUAGAAGCUACAUCGUGCCUCACAGACUCUCCUUCCUGGAGGUGAUGCCCGGUUCAGACAACACAGUCCCAGAAAAAGAUGCUCUUAUGGCUGAUGUCAUCAACACUGAUACAGAGGACAUUGCGGUCAACAGGAAUUCUGUUGACCCCCUGCCUGGCAAUCUCUCCUCCCCUGAAUCAGUCUUAGAUGCAACACCCACAGGAUUUCUGAACCUGGGCUUCUGUGAAGAAGAUUCAUCCCAGGAGCCAGACAUUCCCAGUGACCAGCCCCAGGUGGCACCCAUGACAUCUGGAUCCAGGCCACUCAGGGUCUGGAAGCUGGUGAGGAAGCAAAUUUCCCAUGCACUGAGAGCACUGUGCUGCUGCUGCUGCUGCUGCCUGCCCACUCCAAGUGUGGAAACUGAAAUGGCCCAAUAGAAUUCCAGACCUGGUGAGGGGUGACUGCCACAGAAGUGAGCCAGAACUCAUCUCCAGUGUGCCAGCUCCCUCCAACCCAGGACAACAGGCUCCUGCCUGCAUUCAUCCUCCAGCUAUUGGGUCUGAGCUGCCACUCUGUAUCUCUUUCAGCUUAAUCCAGCUUCAGAACUGUUGUGGGACAAUUGGGGGUCAUAAGGUGCAUGGACCCCAUGACCCUCUACCUUCCUAGCUUUGGUUGUGCUUGUAGGACCACUCACAAUGCAUGGAAAACAGCAGCCUCUACCACAAGGAAUGACUUUAUACCAAUCUAGGCUGCUCAUCAUCUUGAUCACUUUAACCCUCCAACUUACUCUGUGACUGCCUUUUGUAAAGAACAGCAAGACCUGUGCAAAUCCUCUGGAGAAUGGAGCCUCCUUCAUCCAGGGUUCACUUGCUGUCUCCCACCUCCUGAUCCAAGAAUCUUUCAUCAUUUUUUUCCAUCUCAUGAAAGGAUUUAUAACUGACAUUUGACCUUGCAUUAACAUUGUUCUGCUCCAAUGUGGGAAGGAUGCCUUCCAGUUAGGGAGCAGAUCACUGAUUCACAAGGGGAAAUGAACUCAACAGGGAAUCCAGGGUCUAAUCUGUAUGAAACAUGGGCCUGCAGGUUCAGGGAUUGAACUGAAGGUUCUGUCAUCCAGGAUGGACUACAAACAGCAGCAAAGUCCAAAUCUAACCUUCAGAAUAGAAGUCUAUGUCCACCAGUGAACAGAUACCUGCAGGAUCCCCACCUGCAGUCCAGGCAUAAAUCCCAUGACCUCAACCUGACCAAUCAGGAGAGUCCAGAUUGGCUACCUGGUCUGAUGGAUUGAGUUCUUUCCAUUUGAGCCUUGAGAUCACAGCUGAGGACUCAAGGAGACACAGGGUGGCGACUUACAGGUGUGGCCUGAGACAGCAGAAGUUGGAGCUCUGCAGGAAGUCCAGAUGGCAGUGUGCCCACUUCCCCAGCAUGAAGGGUCUGUGUCCAGCACAGGAGGAGGAAAGUGACAGCAAGCUGGAGGAAAAUGGGUACCACUUUGGAUGGAAUGCUGGGACAUUGCUCCACUUUGGAAGUACCUGGCCAUAUCCUGAAUCGUGGACCCCGAGAAUUCCUGACUUGCAUGUGUGCACACUGAGCAUUGGUGACAUGGAGGAAAAAGAGCACCUCUCCCCUCCCCUUCCUGGCAGACUAGCAUGCCAUUUUCUGAGCUCCAGAGGAACUCAGAGGCUCCACACAGCAACAGGAGGACAUGCUGUGGAUGACGAUGACAUGGUUUCUCUGCCACCAUCCAACUACAGACAAUCACCCCAAAUUACCAACAAGCCCUGGGGAAUCUACAGGAGCGUCCCCUUGUGGAAGCCUCCCAGUGGAUAACAAAGAAAACCUGCCUGAGCAGGUAAAGAAAUAUCUCAGAAGUGCCUUAGGAAUUAAAUGUGCUUCUCUUUCUGAACUCUAGAGUGGAUCUCCUGAGAAGGGCAGUACCCAUGGACCACCUAUCACAGGCCUCCACUAACAUGAUGAGGUAGAACUUGAGGUCAUACAUUUGGCCCAUUUCUCACUGGUAUUAGGCAGAGACAAUUUACAAAGAAAUACUCAAGUAUUUAAUUAGAAUUCUAACAUAAUUUCUCUAAAUUGGCAUUCAGAAUGCUUUGACCACUGGAGGAGAGAAAUCCAAAGCUAUAUGAGCUCUCAGGCUCCACCAGUUGUUAUUCUAAAGGUGACAGAUGUUUGCAUUUCAUCUAUAGACUCAGAAAAACCCAGUCUGAUGCUCAAACACAAGAUGUAACAACCAAUGGGACCUAAACCUAGAAGACAUGGCAGAGGACAGGAGAGAUCCCUCCAGACCCUGAUCUUCUUUCCCAGGACUUCUCACAAUGCCUGAGAGAUCCACAGAGGGCUAUAGGGAAGUAAUGGAGACUGGAUACAUGGAACAGAACAAAGGCUCAGAAACAGACCCAUCGAGAUCCUGCCAGCCGAUUUUCUCAGUCACCCAUGGAAAUCAAGGCAGAGAGAAUGGCUUGUCCACAAAUGAUUGCAGAAGAAGAUUUAAAAACAAGCAAUAAGGAACCAACUGAAAAACUGAACACAGUCACCAUUUCUAUUGACCUCAAAUACAAACACUAUAAUGCUCACAUAAA